rnacentral:rRNA from 1 species
CAAUAGCGUAUAUUUAAGUUGUUGCAGUUAAAAAGCUCGUAGUUGGAUUUCGGGUGGGACGCAGCGGUCUCGCAUUGCGUUUGUACUGCUGCAGCCCUCCUUCUUGCCGGGGGCGGCCUCUCGGACUUCACUGUCUGGGGGUCAGAAUCGGCGAUGUUACUUUGAGUAAAUUAGAGUGUUCAAAGCAAGCUUACGCUCUGAAUAUAAUAGCAUGGGAUAACACGACAGGACUCUGGCCUAUCGUGUUGGUCUAUAGGACCAGAGUAAUGAUUAAGAGGGACAGUCGGGGGCAUUCGUAUUCCGUUGUCAGAGGUGAAAUUCUUGGAUUUACGGAAGGCGAACAUCUGCGAAAGCAUUUGCCAAGGAUGUUUNCAUUGA